rnacentral:misc_RNA from 1 species
GAUGAAGAACGUAGCGAAAUGCGAUAAGUAAUGCGAAUUGCAGAAUUCAGUGAGUCAUCGAAUCUUUGAACGCACAUUGCGCCCUGUGGUAUUCCGCAGGGCAUGCCUGUUCGAGCGUCAUUUCAACCCUCAAGCUCUGCUUGGCGUUGGGCCCUGCCCGCUGCGGCCGGCCCUAAAGACAGUGGCGGUGCCGCCUGGCCCUGAGCGUAGUACAUCUCUCGCUCCAGUGCCCGGUGGUAGCCUGCCAGAACCCCAACUCUCGUGGUUGACCUCGGAUCAGGUAGGGAUACCCGCUGAACUUAAGCAUAUCAAUAAGCGGAGGA